UACGUAGGGUGCGAGCGUUAAUCGGAAUUACUGGGCGUAAAGCGUGCGCAGGCGGUCUCGUAAGCCGGGUGUGAAAGCCCCGGGCUUAACCUGGGAAUUGCAUUCGGGACUGCGAGGCUGGAGUGCGGCAGAGGAAGGUGGAAUUCCUGGUGUAGCAGUGAAAUGCGUAGAGAUCAGGAGGAACACCGAUGGCGAAGGCAGCCUUCUGGGCCGACACUGACGCUCAUGCACGAAAGCGUGGGGAGCAAAC
rnacentral:rRNA from 1 species